UACGAAGGGUGCUAGCGUUGUUCGGAAUUACUGGGCGUAAAGCGCGCGUAGGCGGUCAUUCAAGUCAGAGGUGAAAGCCCUGGGCUCAACCCAGGAAUUGCCUUUGAAACUGUAUGACUUGAGUGUCGGAGGGGAUAGCGGAAUUGCUAAUGUAGAGGUGAAAUUCGUAGAUAUUAGCAGGAACACCGGUGGCGAAGGCGGCUAUCUGGACGACAACUGACGCUGAGGCGCGAAAGCGUGGGGAUCAAACAGG
rnacentral:rRNA from 1 species